AUCGCUUCUCGGCCUUUUGGCUAAGAUCAAGUGUAGAAGACAUUUGUUAUCUAUUCAUUGUGAUAAGACUCUGUUCCUUCUUGAAGGCAGGGAAGGAGACUAAAACAAGGUAGCCUGAUAAACUGAGAUUUACAUAUUAGAAAAAAGUCCUGGUCUUCAGUAGCUUUU
rnacentral:snRNA from 1 species